rnacentral:misc_RNA from 1 species
GAUGAAGAACGUAGCGAAAUGCGAUAAGUAAUGUGAAUUGCAGAAUUCAGUGAAUCAUCGAGUCUUUGAACGCACAUUGCACCCCCUGGUAUUCCGGGGGGCAUGCCUGUCCGAGCGUCAUUGCUGCCCUCAAGCACGGCUUGUGUGUUGGGCCGUCGUCCCCCUCCUAGGGGACGGGCCCGAAAGGCAGCGGCGGCACCGCGUCCGGUCCUCGAGCGUAUGGGGCUUCGUCACCCGCUCCGUAGGCCCGGCCGGCGCUUGCCGACGACCAUCAAUCUCUUUCUCCAGGUUGACCUCGGAUCAGGUAGGGAUACCCGCUGAACUUAAGCAUAUCAAUAAGCGGAGGA